rnacentral:rRNA from 1 species
AGCGAACGCUGGCGGCGUACUUAACACAUGCAAGUCGAACGAGGAUCAUCGGGUUAGCAAUAAUUCGGUGUCCUAGUGGCGCACGGGUGAGUAACACGUGGGUGACCUGCCCUUGAGCUCGGGAUACCCCCUCGAAGGGGGCGUAAUACGGAUACGUUCCUCGUUGAAAGAACUGAGGAGGAAAGGUGGCGCAAGCUGCCGCUCUUGG